rnacentral:lncRNA from 1 species
UGCCCUUUCAGCCCCGACACUAGUUGGGGGAGAAAAAAGAAUAGAGGGAAAGGGGGCGAUGGUAUCAUUAGACUACUUUCUGCUGGAUUCCUAGGGACAAGUUUGAUCUUUGACCUCAAGAUACCUAAUUUCUUCUUAUUAUUUCAUGUUUGUGCAUGACUACUUAAUAAACCGUGACCAACAGCAACCAACCAUCCAACAGCAGCCCACCCCACGCCCUGGGGCCCUAGCAUCUAUGAACCCUCUGAAAAGUCUCCAGAAUCCCAAACAUCACACGAUCACAGAAACCAUCUGCAGCUGGCAAAGUCAGUCCCCACACCUGGGAUUAGAACAAAAACACAGUCCCAUAAUAUUUUUGUGUUUUUUAAAGAAACCAAGACUAAUUAUUACUGCAUUGCCUGAUGUUCCUGAUGUGCCUUCGUUUUCUAGGGUCACUGUGUGUAGUAUACAUGCUUAUGUGAACAUGCACCUGUGCCUCAGAUGGCUUCCAUGUCACUGUGUAGUGUACGUGUGUGUUCAUCACAUUGUGCAGAUGAACGUGAGUCUGCUGUGGAGGUCGACCUUGAGUGUCAUUCCUCAGCUGCCUACACAUCUCUCACAUUAUUUAUUUGUGUGAGGGUAUGCAUCAGCAUGCGGAUGUCAAAGGACAGUUUGCAAGAGUUGUUGUUUUCCCUUCUACCUUGUGCAUCUCUGGGAUUGAACUCAGGUCAUCAGACUUGGUGGCAAACUCUUUUACUUGUUAAGCCAUUUUGCCAACUCCCAUAUCAAUUUUUUGAGACAAGGACCCUUGUUAACUUGGAAAUUGCUAGAUUGACUAGCCAGUAAGCCCCAGGGUCUCCACCUCCCCAGUAUUGGGAACGUAAGUAUGUGCUAUCAUGCCCUGCUUUUAUAUGAAUGCUGGUGAUAAUUAAGUCAGGCCCUCAUUCUUGCAUGGCAAGUGCUUUUAUCCAGUGAGCCAUCUCUCCAGCCCUAAUUUUGUGAAGCUCUAGAAAAUCAACGUUUGCCAGGUGGUGGUGGCGUGGUGCCCACCUUUAGUCCCAGCACUGUGGGAGGCAGAGACAGGUGGAUCUCUGAGCCUGAGGCCAGCCUGGUCUACAGAGUGAGUUCUAGGACAGCCAGGGCUACCUUGUUUUAAACCAGAAAGAAGGAAAAGAGGAAAAGAAAAGGUUCUUAUUAAAAUAUACUUUGUAACGGGUGUCUCCUUAGGGCAGUAGGCACAGUCUCAUAAAAUAUACUUUGUUAGUGUGUGUGUGUGUGUGUGUGUGUGUGUGUGUGUGUGUGCGCGCGCGAGCUUGUUUUAGUGAUGUACCUGGGCCUGUGCAUGCUGAGCAAAUGAUUACUGUCGGGCUGUACUGCAGUCUCCUGUGACACUGUGUUAGGGUUGAACAUGUAGGUUUUUCUAAGAUGGUGGAAUUAAGUCUGCUGGCAGCACAUGUAGUUACUCCCAGUACUUGGGAGGCAGAGGCAGGGGAAUUCUUGAAUUCAGGGCUAGUCUGGUCUACAGAGUGAGUUCCAGAAGAGCCAGAGCUACACAGAGAUUUUUUUCUCAAAAGAAAGAAAAACCAAUCUGCCAGAGCAUAUUUGUAGCAAGGAGUUUCACACAGCUGUCUCCUGUGCUGUGUGGAAAGGGAUGUUUGCAAACCUGACUUCUGAGUCUUGCUGGAGGCUUUCCAGAGUUGGGGUCCCAUAAGUCCAGGCUGUUGACCUCCUCACUAGUGGGCUGUGAGCACGCAGGCUGUCCAUUGCCCUAUCAACGACAUAACCGUGGGCAGCUGACCACCCUAUCCUGCUGAUGGCUCUGAGCUAGGGUGCUGUGAUCACACAGGCGGUCUAUUUCCCUGCUCAUGGCCCCUGAAGUCUG